UAAGGUUAAUCCUAAGACACCUUUUGAUUGCAAAUCAAAUAUUAUAUUUAAAUAUAACCCU
rnacentral:tRNA from 1 species